GAUGAACGCUGGCGGCGUGCCUAAUACAUGCAAGUCGAGCGAACGGACGAGAAGCUUGCUUCUCUGAUGUUAGCGGCGGACGGGUGAGUAACACGUGGAUAACCUACCUAUAAGACUGGGAUAACUUCGGGAAACCGGAGCUAAUACCGGAUGAUAUUUUGAACCGCAUGGUUCAAAAGUGAAAGACGGUCUUGCUGUCACUUAUAGAUGGAUCCGCGCUGCAUUAGCUAGUUGGUAAGGUAACGGCUUACCAAGGCAACGAUGCAUAGCCGACCUGAGAGGGUGAGCGGGCAAGCAGGAAGUGAGACACGGCACAGAGCGAGACGGGGGCGGACGAAAGGGGAGCUUCCGAAAUGGGCGAAAGCCUGAUGAAGCACUGCUGCUGGAGUAAAGAAGGUCUUCGAAUAUUAAAACCCUGUUAUAAGGUAACAACAUAGAAGUCAGCAACUAUGCACAUCCGAACGGCCCCUAAACUGAACAACAACCCCAUUUACACC
rnacentral:rRNA from 1 species